rnacentral:rRNA from 1 species
GUAGGUGGCAAGCGUUGUCCGGAAUUAUUGGGCGUAAAGCGCGCGCAGGCGGUCCUUUAAGUCUGAUGUGAAAGCCCACGGCUCAACCGUGGAGGGUCAUUGGAAACUGGGGGACUUGAGUACAGAAGAGGAAAGCGGAAUUCCAAGUGUAGCGGUGAAAUGCGUAGAGAUUUGGAGGAACACCAGUGGCGAAGGCGGCUUUCUGGUCUGUAACUGACCCUGAGGCGCGAAAGCGUGGGGAGCAAACAGGAUUAGAUACCCUGGUAGUCCACGCCGUAAGCGAUGAGUGCUAAGUGUUAGGGGGUUUCCCGCCCCUUAGUGCUGCAGCUAACGCAUUAAGCACUCCGCCUGGGGAGUACGGCCGCAAGGCUG